rnacentral:tRNA from 1 species
GCGCCGGUGUUGGAAUUGGCAGACAGGCAGGAUUUAGGUUCCUGUGUAGAGAUACGUGCGGGUUCAAAUCCCGCCCGGCGCA